GAAAUGCGAUAAGUAGUGUGAAUUGCAGAAUUCAGUGAAUCAUCGAAUCUUUGAACGCACAUUGCGCCCCUUGGUAUUCCAUGGGGCAUGCCUGUUCGAGCGUCAUUUGUACCCUCAAGCUCUGCUUGGUGUUGGGUGUUUGUCCCGUCUACGCGCGUGGACUCGCCCCAAAGUGAUUGGCAGCCGGCGUACUGGUCCCGGAGCGCAGCACAUGUCGCGCAAACGAGUGCCUUGGUACGGCGGCGUCCAUAAGCCCCUCUCUCACGCUCUUGACCUCGGAUCAGGUAGGGAUACCCGCUGAACUUAAGC
rnacentral:misc_RNA from 1 species